GCUUCAGUAGCUCAGUGGUAGAGCAUUCCCUUGGUAAGGGAAAGGCCAUGGGUUCAAUCCCCAUCUGAAGCU
rnacentral:tRNA from 1 species